GGCGUGGCCCUCCUGCGCUGCUCCUGUGUGACCAGCCGCCCACGGUAACACAGAAACAUCUGGCAGGAUGGAGUGGUUGGCGGAAGACACAUCUGACGAGAUGGAAUGUUUUGCAGAAGAGCCAUGUGACCGGAUCUCUGGUUUGGCAGAGGAGACAUGCGAGAAGACGGAGCGUUUUGUCCGAACAGACAUCUGGCAGGGUGGAAUGGAGAGAACAGGUAUGGUGGAGAGAACGUCUGAGAAGGUCGCAGGAUUCGCAGGAGCAUCGGGAAAAGAUUGCCUAUUUGCCCGAAGGAAUGGCAAGUUCCAAAGGUCAGAGGCUCGCGUGAACUCUGUCAGGUUCAGGAGCAGCUCAGUGUUGCUGCUGGCAAGAGUGUGGUACGGGAAUGGUUGGGUGUGGUUUGAAUGUCUAGAAAAGGUGAGCUGAGGGUAUAUUUUUGAGCAGUCCAGAGCAGAAGGGGUAGAGGAUGUAUUCUGUGGGCCACAGCCACAUUCUCAGGAUGCUCGUGGCUGUAAAUAGUAGAUGACCCAAGUAAGAGUGGCUGAAGCCAUAGGCACCAGAAUUGUGGCAGCAUCGUCGUGUCAUGCUCACGUUUUCCCUUCCAGCUGUGCUGUGGGCAGUGUUUAGUUCAUGUCUGCUUUGCUGGCGGGCCGAGUAGCAACAGCUGCAGUUGGUGUGUUCUCUGAAGGCAGUAUCUGAAAGCUGGAGGGGUUGCUUUUCUUCCCAGGUGUCUUUUGAAGAGGCAGUCAAGUCAGCAGCUCGCAGUGACCUUCUGGUAACAUCGUAUGGGCUGGGUUACGGCACAUGCUGACUGCUAAGCCGGUCACUGGGGAAAACCAUGUGAUUGCUGUGAUGAGCUUAGAAUGAUCAUUCCUCCUUCGGGAGCUGGGGUGGGUUGAGGGAAUGAUAAAGAUCCCGAUAACCUUGCAUUUCUCCAGCGAGAAAGAAGAAAGAAAUUCCGUGGAUAGGGAGCCAGCCAGGUUUCCUGCAGAAAAUCAUGGGAAGCUUUUGAGCAGGGGAGUCAGAAGAUGAGCGAUCCCGUUUCAGGAAUGUUUCUGGUGGCUUACAAGGACCGUCUCCAGCAUGCUUAGGCUCUCUUAACUUUCCUAGGAUCCUGAGUAGGGUAUCCGCCAUUCGUCCUUAGGGCUCCGGGAUGUCUCGUUCUUACCGUGUCCCUGCCAACCCUGGUCCCAUCUCGUCAUGAUCACCCACUGUAGAAGACAGGAGGUGCUAGAAUGAACAGGGUCAGGGGAGCCCCGUUCAUCCCCAGGGUCCCAGAAUGAAGCAGUGUUACCAUGUACCCCUGCCCUUGC
rnacentral:lncRNA from 1 species